UACGAAGGGGGCUAGCGUUGUUCGGAAUCACUGGGCGUAAAGCGCACGUAGGCGGAUGUGCCAGUCAGGGGUGAAAUCCCGGAGCUCAACUCCGGAACUGCCUCUGAUACAGCACGUCUUGAGUUCGAGAGAGGUGGGUGGAAUUCCUAGUGUAGAGGUGAAAAUUCGUAGAUAUUAGGAAGAACACCGGUGGCGAAGGCGGCCCACUGGCUCGAUACUGACGCUGAGGUGCGAAAGCGUGGGGAGCAAACAGG
rnacentral:rRNA from 1 species